UGGCAUGUGAUGAAAUAUACUCGGAUUCCCCUUCAGGACAUUCUGAAUGAUGUAAAUCGAGUUUCUGAUGCU